AUGCACGCUGGCGGCGUGCCUAAUACAUGCAAGUCGAACGGAAAGACGCUGAUCUUGCGUGUUGCAUGUUUGCGGAGGACGGGAGUGUAACAUGUGUAUACCCUCCCUAUAAGUCUGGGAAAACCUCGGGAAACCGGCGCUUACCCCGGAUAAUCUUCUGAACCGCGGUGGUGAAUAGUAAAAGACGGUCUUGCUGUCAGGUAUAGCUGGAUCCGCGCUGCAUGAGCUAGUUGGUACGUUAACGGCUUAUCAAGGCAACGAUGCAUAGCCGAACUGAGAGGGGGAUCGGCCACACGAGAGCUGAGCCACGGUCCAGACUACUGCGAGAGGCAGCAGUAGGGAAUCUGCCGCAAUGGGCGAGAGCCUGGCGGAGCAGCGCCGCGUGAGUGAUGAAGGUCUUCGGAUCGUAAAACUCUGUUAUUAGUGAAAAACAUAUGUGUAAGUAACUGUGCACAUAGUGACGGUACCUAGUCAGAAAGCCACGGCUAACUACGUG
rnacentral:rRNA from 1 species